GUUGAAAGAAACUGAAAGGGGAGCCUUGGCACCAAGGUGGGAUGUAUGUUUCUACAUCAGCUUCAACAACAGGAACUCAACAUCAGAGAGAUUAGGAAUAAAAAUGCCUUUGUGGUCAUUUUGAUUCAGGUCUGUGCUUUCCACGUCAAGAACAGAGAAGCAGAAAGGAAGCUCCAAGUUAGCCAGGAAGAAAAAGAUAUUACCACACUGCCCUACCCCGAAGUUUCUGUGUGUCACUCUGCAACAGCCUACAAAAAAUAUUGUCUAAACACCAAACAGAAAGUAGUCAGCAGAAAUAGCUUAUUCAAGAAACUGGCUAUAUCAGACUAGGGUGCACACCCAUAAACAAUAAGAACAACAGCUUUGCCUCUGUGCAAAGCCAAAGAAGAAAAUGCUACUGCUACAGUAUAUUGUAUAAAUCAGAACACAUCAAACAAGUGGGUGUAGUUCUUAAUGUAUCGUGCAGGAUUAUUAAUGACUACGUGAAAUCCUACCCCCACUGGAAACAUCUAUUAUUUGGCUGGUAUUGUCCCUCUGGAUAUACAUCAAGAGGUCCUAGCAAAUAAUAAACAAAAUAAGGUAAUAGAAGUUCUACCUGAAAUCAGUACGCACAGAUGCAGCACAUAAAUCACCCACAA